rnacentral:rRNA from 1 species
UACGUAGGGCGCAAGCGUUGUCCGGAAUUAUUGGGCGUAAAGAGCUCGUAGGCGGCUUGUCACGUCGGGUGUGAAAGCCCGGGGCUUAACCCCGGGUCUGCAUUCGAUACGGGCUAGCUAGAGUGUGGUAGGGGAGAUCGGAAUUCCUGGUGUAGCGGUGAAAUGCGCAGAUAUCAGGAGGAACACCGGUGGCGAAGGCGGAUCUCUGGGCCAUUACUGACGCUGAGGAGCGAAAGCGUGGGGAGCGAGCAGG